GACGAACGCUGGCGGCGUGCCUAACACAUGCAAGUCGAACGGAGAGGACAUGAAGUAUUUCGGUACGGAAUGCUCUCUUAGUGGCGAACGGGUGAGUAACACGUGGGCAACCUGCCCCAGACUGGGGGAUAACAUUGUGAAAACAGUGCUAAUACCGCAUGACAGGGUUCCGGGCAUCCGGGACCCUUGAAAGGAGAAAUCCGGUCAGGGAUGGGCCCGCGUCCAAUUAGCUAGUUGGCGGGUAACGGCCCACCAAGGCGACGAUUGGUAGCCGAACUGAGAGGUUGAUCGGCCACAUUGGGACUGAGACACGGCCCAGACUCCUACGGGAGGCAGCAGUGGGGAAUAUUGGGCAAUGGGCGAAAGCCUGACCCAGCGACGCCGCGUGAAGGAUGAAGGUCUUCGGAUUGUAAACUUCUUUGAUCAGGGAAGAAAGAAAUGACGGUACCUGAAAAACAAGCCACGGCUAACUACGUG
rnacentral:rRNA from 1 species